CUAUCGUUCCCAGUCACUUCUUUAAUUGACACACUGAAAGAAGCCACAUCUUCCUGCCUGAUUCUGACCAGCUCUCUAAUUGAAUUCAGCUCAACAUCUCCGCUUCAGGCCCCCAGCAAUUAAUGAUGGAGAUCUUCUCGCCUUGGGAAUUUCCCCUUGCUCCCAUUCUUUUUGUUUAAUAGGAUCUAGUGAGAAAACCGGCAGCAGGAAAUCUCCCACCCGCCCAUCUCCUACCUUUCCCAGAGGUGCUUCGUGAAGAAAAGAGAGCCAUGUGAACUUCAGGGGUUGGAAAGGCGGUGACGUACGAGGCUCUGCGCGCAGGAGGCGGCGAGGGAGGCUGCUGGGGAGAACGUGGCUCUGAAGCACUGCCUGUUUGCUGAGCCUGCAGAGACAACUGCAGUGGGUUUGCUGGUUAACCAGGUGAGAGUGUGGUGUCUCCAGUCCUUGCUUGGAGAGAAAGGCCCCUAACCCUGCUCCUCGUCCUUGCCAGCCACAGCUGGUGAUGGGUGGGAGGAAAGGGUGGAGGGGGAGAUUCCCUCCCUGACCGUUCUACCUGUGUGCUGAUGUGAGAAGGGGUGAAGCUGCCCAGGUUUUGUGGAGCUUCAUCAUACAUGAUGCCUACCUGCAGGACUAGAAGGCAGACAGAGGGGUUUUCUCCUCCUUUCCUUCACUCUGUGAUUCUUUCCCAGCUUCCAUGAGUUUUCCUGGCUUGUCAUUGAGUUUUUUUGGGGGGGAGUUGUUUGUUUGUCUGUUUGUUUGUCUGUUUGUUUCUUUUUCACAUGUGGCUUCCAGAUCCAUGUAGCUUCCAGGUCCAUGC